AUACGGAGGAUGCAAGCGGUAUCCGGAUUUAUUGGGUUUAAAGGGUGCGUAGGCGGUUUGCUAAGCGGGAGGUGAAAUGCCGGCGCUCAACGUCGGAAGUGCCUCCCGAACUGGUGGACUGGAAUGACUCUGCCGUGGGAGGAAUGUGUAGGGUAGCGGUGAAAUGCUUAGAGAUUACACAGAACACCGAUUGCGAAGGCAUCUCACGAAGGGUUGAUUGACGCUGAGGCACGAAAGCGUGGGGAUCAAACAGGAUUAGAUACCCUGGUAGUCCACGCAGUAAACGAUGAUGGCUAACCGCUGGUUUAUUCGGAUCAGUGGCCAAGCGAAAGCGAUAAGCCAUCCACCUGGGGAGUACGACCGCAAGGUUGAAACUCAAAGGAAUUGGCGGGG
rnacentral:rRNA from 1 species